GACGAACGCUGGCGGCGUGCCUAAUACAUGCAAGUUGAGCGAUGAAGCUUGGUGCUUGCUCCAAUUUGGAGAGCAGCGGACGGGUGAGUAACGCGUGGAGAAUCUGCCUAUGAGCGGGGGACAACAUUUGGAAACGAAUGCUAAUACCGCAUAAUAACUUUAAACAUAAGGUUUAAGUUUGAAAGAUGCAAUUGCAUCACUCAAAGAUGAUCCCGCGUUGUAUUAACUAGUUGGGUAGGUAAAGGCUCAACAAGGCGAAGAUACAUAGCCGACCUGAGAAGGUGAUCCGCCACAAUGGGACUGGGACCCGGCCCAAACCCCUACGGGAGGCAGCAGUAGGGAAUCUUCGGCAAUGGACGAAAGUCUGACCGAGCAACGCCGCGUGAGUGAAGAAGGGUUUCGGAUCGUAAAACUCUGUUGGUAGAGAAGAACGUUGGUUGUAGUGGAAAGCUCAUCAAGUGACGGUAACUACUCAGAAAGGGACGGCUAACUACGUG
rnacentral:rRNA from 1 species